CUCUCAGGAAACUUGGCAUAUGCUUUCUUUUAAUUAGCAAACCAUGGGUUUAAGGUCACCUAGACAAUUGCUCUCUCUCGCUCCCUCAUGGGCAGAACUUGCAUGGGUCUCCUGCAAGCUCCCUCCACAGGUGGAGGAUGCUGUAACGGGACCCUCUCUCAUCUCCCACCUUGUGGUUUGGCUGUGAAUGGAGGAAACAGACAAUAGACAUCCUCCAGCCCGGUGGUUGGUUUGCUUGUUCACAAAACCAGGAUCAGCUGAGGCUUUGCCAACCUUCAGCUUUCUCUUGAACAGCACCAAAGAAAAAAAUCAAGAGAAGCAAAAAGAGAAAGAAGACUUUAUUUAGAAUUCCCAGGCUCACCAUAAAUAGAGUUGUUUUUUUCAAGACCAAACUGCUUAGAUAAUCAGCUCAUGGCACCAUUAUUAAUUUAUAUAUUAGGUGGUUGGUGUCCAUUUCUGGAUGGUUUUCGUGUGAUGAUCAAACAGUCCUACCUCUAAGAGAGACAAAAACCAUUGAAUUGUCCCUGCAUCCCAGCGGCCCCCUUCACUGGCUGGUAAGUCCUUCCAGAGCAUCAGGGCAAAGUCACCAGGGCGGCACUGGCUGCAUGUGGCAUGGGCGGGUCUUUACUCCACCCACCUGCCAAUCACUUUGUGAUUCCUCUGCUCCGCCCUCACCAGCCCUGCUCUGAACUCACCACCUGUGCCUCCCACUUGCAAAGAAAAGCUGGAAACCAAAUGGGAGGCCAGGGAAAUGACUCUUGGCACAAAUAAUUCAUUGAUGCAUUCUUUCAAACCCGGGGUGAAUUUUGGGGUUUUUGGUCAGUGCAUUCAGGCUAUGAAAAUUAUUCAGUUAGGAGUUCCUGCUAUGGCACAAUGGGAUCAGAAGCAUCUCUGGAGUGCGGGCACUCAGGUUCCAUCCCCAGCUGGGCACAGGGGGUUAAGGACCUGCAGCUGCAGCACAGGUUACAACUGCAGCUCAUAUCUGCUCCCUGGCCCGGGAACUCCAUACGCUGUGGGGCAGCCAAAAACGGAAAAAAAAAAAUUUAUCUAAUUAACCCGACCCAGAUAGCACAUUCCUCCCUGUGUGGUGGCUCCCGAGCAUCAUCUGUGGCAUCAGGGGUUGAUGGAAAUAGAAGAUGCCAAUUAUACAGUUUGGGGCAGCGGCCAAACAUCUAUCAAAAGCUGGAAAAUAACCAGCUCUGUGAUUUGCCAGCAAAGCAGGGUUUUGUCACAGCCUCCAGAGGCCAAAGGCUACCAUUUCACUGGCUGCAUCACUGAAAUGUUUCGAUUUAGACAAGGAACGGGCGAGAACCAUAUUCCCUUACUUUGCAGAAGUACCUACAACAGCUGUUUUAAGAUGCUCUUCUAGAAUGGCAGAGAAUGGCAAGCUUCCCUUGUCUCUUGGCCUUUGAAACCUCAAGACGGGCUGGGUUUGGGAGACUGAAAAAUGAGCACAUAUGUGCCUGGCAAUUCCCUUGACACUUGACUUUUUGUUUAUGUGAGUGUGGCAAUGGCGAGGGUUGUUUCAAGAUCUCCAGACAAAAUAGGAGAACGCUGAUAUAUAUACACAAGAUCUGAAACAGCUUUGCUUCCGAUGCCCAGUUCGUCCCUGAUUCAAGCAGCCAGGACACUAACGCUCCCCAGGAGUGAGGGGCAGUGCUUCUGGCCCUGGGGAACAGUGUUACUCCUGGCUCAUCACACUUACCUCUUGCUUCCCUCCCGCUUGGCGCUUCCCUGUAGCUUUGAGUCUCUUCCCAGAGACUUUAUUCUCUCUUCUCCAUUCUUUCAGUGGUUUCCUUUUUGCAUUUGGUCUCUUCUCAACCACCUCUCACAAAUAAAUGGAAAACAACCAAGGAAAAUUCCAGUAGGAAAAAUGAGACAUGUGCUGUUUCUACCUAGCAACACACUCCUGGGACGUGGCAGAGAAAGGUCAGGAAACACCUUUCGUCUCUCUGGGUUCACAAGGAAAGAGCACUGCAUUUUGGAGAGGACCACGUGUGCUCCCAGGUUUAGGACCAGCUGGGCCCUUCUUUCCAGCAGCUGGCCUGUGGAGGCGAGGCUGAGAAGCAGGAGGGGACGGGGGCACCCUUGCUUUGAGGCUAAUUGGAAAGAGCCAUCCCCAGAUCCACCCGUCCCCUGACACCCCAAAGUCCUUUGUGACCAGAGUCACGCACAAAGGCCAGCAGAGCCCUACUGCUCAGAGGUCUCAGAAACAGACCAAUGGAGAGGAAGACAAAGCUGAGAGACUCCCUCAGAAGGGAGAAAAGAGCAGAUGACAUGUGAAAACCUGGACGAAGCUGGAUUUGACAGGAAAGGAAGGAAGUGCUGCAGGGGGGUCAAAGAGCAUGACCUUCAGGGUUACAAACAUGGACGUGAAGCUCAGCCCCAGCAGGCACUGCGACUACGGACUUGGACAAAUCUUUCGUCUGCAAACCAGAGGUAAUCAUCAUCCGCUCAUGUGGCUAAGAUGCGGGAGAACCAGCAUGCGUGUGUGAGAAACUGACAUGACAUGGGGUAUAGAUGAGCCCUUGCUGUGGUUAAAAGAGGGGAGAGAGACAGAGACGGGACAUGCGGGGGAAGUCAGGGCUCUUCUCCAGAAACGGGACCGAACAGGUGCACAGAAGGAAUAAUAUCAAAGAUGCAGUGGAGGAGGGGAGAAGCAUGUUCCCAAACCUGAAAGGAGAAAAAGACCUGAGAGUGCGGUUAGGACAAGAUGGCCAAGGGGAGGCAUCAGUGACAAGAGGUGUCAUCAUAAUAUUUUUGAAAAAAAUCCGAUAAACAUUCAGGCAGAAAAAAAACAGGUUACCUACAGAAGUUCAGAAAUGAAGGCGGCCUCAGUGAAUCAUUAAAUAUCGGAAUCUAUGGAUGGAACCCUUACCAUUGUGAAAAAGGGCAAUUGUACCAUCACAUACCUGCCCAGCUGAGUUUUUUUUCUCAUGGAGAAAAUAGAUAUUCCUGAAUAGGCAAAGGUCAAGACAUUAAUGUACCAUUCUGGCAAAAAUUGCUUUAGCUCUCCUCUAGCCAAUCAAGAAAGGAACUAAUGAAAGGAUAAUUGCAAUAGUUUCUUGGGAUAGACUAAAAGAAGAUACUAUGAGCAAAAGAAUGUAUAUAUGACUGAGCCACUAGGCUGUGCAGCAGAGAUUGACUCAGCACUGUAAAUCAACUGCACCCUAGUAAAAAAUAAAUUUGAUUUAAAAAAAAGGAAAAAAAGACUAAUGGUGAACAAUGAAACCUUCUCAGUAGAGCAUAAACCUACACAUUUGAUAUAAAUUUAGUUUGAAAAUGGCUGAAAAUUUCAAAUUUAAAAGAGAGGGAUAUUGGGGAGAAAAGCCAUUAUUUAAUAAGCUCAAACUUGUCACACCCCAGAUUUUAUUCAUAAAGUCUGGAAUACGGGGUGGGUGUUGUAUUAAAGCAGUAUGAACUCUGGGGACCAUGAAGGCUCCCAUAUUGUGCUUUUACUCCAGUAAUUAGGAAAAUAUAUGUGAAAUAAUAUGUUUAUAACUUAAGAAAUCUCUUGUUAGGUUUAAACUAGGAUGACUUGCAAAUCUUUGCAAAGGACAGGAAGAACGUCAUGCAUUAACAGAAAAUUUAAAACACAAACCUUAACACAGAGCCACGAAAAACAGUCAGUUUUGAAGGCCAAGGGAAAAUAUGCAGAACUGAAUCUGUAUAUUCAGUACUACGUAAAUUGUAAUAUGUGCACAUACACACACGUGGGCAGAUACUAGAGUAACAACUGAGAAGAAGUGGGCCAAGAUAUGUUAGUUACGCUAAGAACAUGUGUUGCUAUUAUAUUUAGAGGAAACACUGUAUCAGCAACAACAGCAAAAGAAGAAGGUGGGGCCAGAUGUGUGGAUAUGUACACAGGACAUCAUGGGGCCAAACCCCUGGGCAACCUGAGGGAGCUGAUGGGCGUGGCAUCUUCCCCACGGCUACUCUGGCAGACCCUCUGCCAAGCCCACCUCUGCUCCCGGCCCCUCCUCUCUUCAUCAGGGAUAAUUUUCAUUGUAGUAGGCACAUAGUUUGGUAGGCGGUGACUGCGUUGGGAAGAUAUAGAUGACUGAGGAAAUGCUUUAUUUCUAUAAAUGUAUCAGACAUGGCAGUUCAAUUAGAGCACCUACUUAAUUUCAGUAACCAUUUUGCAUCAACAAGAAACAUCCGGGUUUACUUAAAAUGGAAAAAAAAUAUAAGCCAAUAUUAAAAAAAUGUAUAUUGACAUAUAUUUGUCCCACCAUCAUUCUGGAUCAAUAUAUAAUUACUGAAGGCUUACGCUGUGCUUCCGAGUGACUGAGGUUUCAGAGGAGAAUAAGUCUUUCUCCUCGUGGAUGUUACCUUCUCCGGGGAGAGACAGGAAAGCAACAAGGAAGGAAAUGCAUGACGGCGGAGUGUUCGUGGGUGUCCCAUACCUUAGGUGGCUUUGUAACCGUCAUAUAUUAUUUCAGAGAGUGUUAACUGCUUUGCAGAAAAAUUAAUCCAGGUUAACGGUGUAGGUAGAAAUGGGGGAGCCGAGGUUCUAGAAGGAGAGAGUUUUUGACGGAGGAUUCAGAGACGGCCGUCCUAUCCCCUCUUCCUCCCCCAGACUGUGAGCAGAGUCUGAGGAACGGUAGGCUAAUAGGUCUGCUUAGCCAAUGUUAUCAAUAUCAUAAAAAUAUCUAUUAUGACUGACACGCUUUAAUAAUUUUUCACGAUUUACCUUAAGGAACAUUUCUCUGGCCCAGAAAGCCUUCAAUUACCACUGAAAUGAAAAUGUCAUAUCAGCAUAGAAAUUAAUUUGACUUUUAUAGGCUCCUAUGGCAAAUGAUGUGUGAACAUGCAGAAGAGGAAUUCUGGUCCCUUGAUUUCUCGGUUCACGGGGAAUCACCAAAUGUCACACUUAGCCACGUUAAUGUGCGAUUUCAGGAAAUUGGGUGCCUGGAAAAUAGACUUGACACUGAAAUCUCACGGAACAAAACCCAACCAUUGAUGGUUCAGAAGCAUGACUCUCACUUGACACUGCCCCCAGAUCAGCAGAUCAUGAGGGAUUAUUUGGUCAACAGCACAGUGAGAGGGUGUGAAUACAGGUGAUCACGUGGGGAGUCUUCCUGGCGGUGGGACAGGGGAAUAGGUCACACAUCCACCACCAGCUGAGAAAUAAGUCCCACAGGAAGUGAGAACAAAGGAGGAAAAAGUUGAUGAGUGGAAACCUGGCAGAAAAAGCCCCAUGAACGCACCCUUGUCAGGCAUUUCCUUCCUUGUUGCUUUUAUAUCUCUCCCAGGAGAAGGGCAGGUCCACGGGGAAAGAGACAUUUUUAUUCUCUUCUGAAACCUCAGUGACUAGAAGCACAAAGUAAGCCUUUGAUAAUUUCACAUAUACGAAAAAAAAAAAGUAUAUACAUGUAUUACUUUUUAGGGCUGCAGUUGCAGCAUAUGGAAGUUCCGGGGGUCGAUUCCGAGCUGUAGCUGCCAGCCUACACCACAGCCGCAGCAACGCAGGAUCUGAGCUGCAUCUGUGACAUGCACCCCAGCUCAGGGCUGAUAAUUAUAUAUUGAUCCAGGAAUAAUGGUUGAACGAAUUUAUGUCAAUAUGCUUUUUUUUUUUUUCCAAAUACUAGCAUGCAUGAUACAUUUGUAAAAAAGAAACAUUUUCUCAGCCAUCUACACCUUCCCAAUGCAUUCAUCUCCUAGCUAAUUAUGUGUCUGCUGGGAUGACACUCAUCCUUAUGAAGAGAUGAGGGACCCAGAGCAGAAGUGAGCUUGGUGGAGGGUCUGCCAACGUAGCCCAUGGUCAAGAUGCCACACCCAUCAGCUCCAUCAGGAUGACCAGGGGUUUGGCCCCCCCACGUGUUCCAAAUACAUGUCCACACAUCUGGCCCCACCUUCUUCUUUGGUUGCUGUUGCUGUUACAGUGUUUUCUCUAAAUAUAAAUGCAACAUAUUUUCUUAUAGAAACCGACAUAUUUGGGCCCAUUUCCCCUCCGUCUUUUUCUAACAUCUCUCCCCGAGGUUAUACAGAUUGUUGACUUUGUGAGCAAGGUUGUCGUUCUCACGGCCCCUGGUCACUGUCCCAGGCUGCAAGGUGGAGGGGCUGAGCUGGCAGAAGAAGGAAGAGGUUUGUGCCCCACUUCUGACCAUGCAAGUCUGAGGUCACCUGUCCUGAUCAUGAGUACUUUUUGUGUUUCCUUCUGCCCACCUGAUGUGAGAGCCAUUGUCAAUCCCUUUUUUUUUCUUUUCUUUUUUUUUUUUUUUUGUCUUUAUAGGGGCCAUUCCCGCAGCAUAUGGAGGUUCCCAGGCCAGGGGUUGAAUUGGAGCUGUUGUUGCCCGCCUACACCACAGCGACAGCAACGCUAGAUCCAAGCCACAUCUUCAACCUACACCACAGCUCACGGCAACACUGGAUCCUCAACCCACUGAGCAAGGCCAGGGAUCGAACCCGCGACCUCAGGGUUCCUAGUUGGAUUCGUUUCCGAUGCGCCAUAAGAGGAACUUCAACCCCCUUUUUUUUAAUGUCUAUUUUGCCCGUGCUAGACCUCUCCCCACCCAUACACCUCCCCCCACCCCACACGUACAUGCACAAGCACACACAUGCAUGUACCUCUCCAAACUUUUUUCAGUAAAGAACAAUUUUAAUUUAAAAUUUUUGCUGUCUGGAUUAACACAUGUGAGUCUGUGUUUUCUUAUUUUCUGUGAUAUUUGCAUUUUAACCCUCACCUUGAAUUUUUUUCUAAAGGAGCUCUACCUCUUAUUUAGGGUUUUCAGAAACUGAUCAGGAAAGGUGCUCUUCCCUGCCCCCACCAUCCAGGGAGUGGGUUAACAAGUAAUAUUUAUCAUUAUCAUCAUCAACACCACUCUAGAGUUUCAAAGCUCUUCUAUAGGCACCAUCCUCUCCAGGAUCCUAAAAUGGUAUCUAUUAGCUGUCAAUCACUUCACCUACUCUUAAGGCUUGCAAUGACUCUU
rnacentral:lncRNA from 1 species